rnacentral:rRNA from 1 species
GACGAACCGUGCGAACGUUUAUUCGGAAUCACUGGGCUUAAAGCGCGUGUAGGCGGGGCGGCACGUCGGUCGCUGAAAGCCCCCGGCUCAACCGGGGAACGGGCGCCGAUACGACCGCCCUCGAGGGACGUAGGGGGACCUGGAACUUCCGGUGGAGCGGUGAAAUGCGUUGAGAUCGGAAGGAACGCCCGUGGCGAAAGCGAGGUCCUGGACGUCUGCUGACGCUGAGACGCGAAAGCCAGGGGAGCGAACGGG